UCAGCCGGAACGAAACGGUCACAGCUAAUACCUGUGACUACUGACGGUACCGGAAGAAGAAGCACCGGCUAACUACGUGCCAGCAGCCGCGGUAAUACGUAGGGUGCGAGCGUUAAUCGGAAUUACUGGGCGUAAAGCGUGCGCAGGCGGUUUUGUAAGUCAGAUGUGAAAUCCCCGGGCUUAACCUGGGAACUGCGUUUGAAACUACAAGGCUAGAGUGUAGCAGAGGGGGGUGGAAUUCCACGUGUAGCAGUGAAAUGCGUAGAGAUGUGGAGGAACACCGAUGGCGAAGGCAGCCCCCUGGGUUAACACUGACGCUCAGGCACGAAAGCGUGGGGAGCAAACAGGAUUAGAUACCCUGGUAGUCCACGCCCUAAACGAUGUCAACUAGUUGUCGGGUCUUAACGGACUUGGUAACGCAGCUAACGCGUGAAGUUGACCGCCUGGGGAGUACGGUCGCAAGAUUAAAACUCAAAGGAAUUGACGGGGACCCGCACAAGCGGUGGAUUAUGUGGAUUAAUUCGAUGCAACGCGAAAAACCUUACCUACCCUUGACAUGUACCGAAGCCCGC
rnacentral:rRNA from 1 species